rnacentral:rRNA from 1 species
GACGAACGCUGGCGGCGUGCUUAACACAUGCAAGUCGAACGGAAAGGCCCUGCUUUUGUGGGGUGCUCGAGUGGCGAACGGGUGGGUAACACGUGAGUAACCUGCCCUUGACUUUGGGAUAACUUCAGGAAACUGGGGCUAAUACCGGAUAGGAGCUCCUGCUGCAUGGUGGGGGUUGGAAAGUUUCGGCGGUUGGGGAUGGACUCGCGGCUUAUCAGCUUGUUGGUGGGGUAGUGGCUUACCAAGGCUUUGACGGGUAGCCGGCCUGAGAGGGUGACCGGCUACAUUGGGACUGAGAUACGGCCCAGACUCCUACGGGAGGCAGCAGUGGGGAAUAUUGCACAAUGGGCGGAAGCCUGAUGCAGCAACGCCGCGUGCGGGAUGACGGCCUUCGGGUUGUAAACCGCUUUCGCCUGUGACGAAGCGUGAGUGACGGUAAUGGGUAAAGAAGCACCGGCUAACUACGUG